rnacentral:lncRNA from 1 species
GGGCUCUCUCCGGUCCCCAGUGCAUGGGCUGGAGUGUGGCCCCUGGCAGAGCCCUGGAGGCCGGCUCUGCUUCCUGCCCCCUUCCAGCCUGGAGCAGCCCGAGGGCGCAGCAUUCCUGGGGCAGGCCUGAGCCCUGUGGUGGGCUGAGUUGAGUCCCCAGAAAGGAUCUAUGAAAGAUAAAAUGUGGUGUGAGGACACGGCCCAGCCCCACCGUCGUCUUCCAGCCCCACCAUCGUCUUCCAGCCCCACCGUCGUCUUCCAGUCCCACCGUCGUCUUCUAGCCCCACCAUCGUCGUCUUGGACUCUCUGGGUGGCACCACGCUGUGGGUGCUGCUCUCCUCUGUGUCCCAAACGAGUUUGUGCCUCACUUUGUCGGGUUUUGGCUGUGACUUGGAGCCUCACCAAGCUCCCUUUUCCUCUGUCUCCCAUUCUCCUCUCCAGGCCAGGGUGGCUUCCCCAGCCCUCCUCCCCGGGUCCUGCCUGUGCCGAGCCUUCCUCCCAGGAGGGAGGUGAUACUGACUUGAGAUCUUAUGGGUGUUUUGUUUGUGGCUGGGCCUGGCCGACCCUCUCUCCACGGCCUUAGAUCACACUCUGGAUGGAUAGGACAGUCGUCCUCAAUACUGAGCCUCUUUGGAGCAUACCCACUGAUGGUGGUUCACAAGCUACCCACGCCCACAGGCUGACCCAGAUCUCCGUGAAAUUAAAAAAUACUGUGAAAGGAAAAAGAGCCAAUGUCAUGUGGAUAAUGAAGUGUCAGCCACUGAAAAAUCUCAAAAUAAUAAA